UAGCUAAGUUCGGAAUUGAUAAGCGCUGAAAGCAUCUAAGCGCGAAGCGAGCCCUGAGAUGAGUCUUCCCUGACAGUUUAACUGUCCUAAAGGGUUGUUCGAGACUAGAACGUUGAUAGGCAGGGUGUGUAAGCGUUGUGAGGCGUUGAGCUAACCUGUACUAAUUGCCCGUGAGGCUUAACCAUACAACACCCAAGGGGUUUUGUA
rnacentral:rRNA from 1 species